rnacentral:rRNA from 1 species
UACGAAGGGGGCGAGCGUUGUUCGGAAUUACUGGGCGUAAAGGGCGCGCAGGCGGCUCUGAAAGUCAGAUGUGAAAGCCCCGGGCUUAACCUGGGAAUUGCAUUUGAUACUCUGGAGCUUGAGUACGGGAGAGGAGAGUGGAAUUCCCAGUGUAGAGGUGAAAUUCGUAGAUAUUGGGAAGAACACCGGUGGCGAAGGCGGCUCUCUGGACCGUAACUGGACGCUGAGGCGCGAAAGCGUGGGGGAGCAAACAGG